rnacentral:rRNA from 1 species
GACGAAGGUGGCGAGCGUUGUUCGGAAUCAUUGGGCUUAAAGCGCACGUAGGCGGUCCUUCAAGUGUCUUGUGAAAUCCCUCGGCUCAACCGAGGAAUGGCUGGGCAUACUGUUGGACUUGAGGCAGGUAUGGGCGAGUGGAACUCUUGGUGGAGCGGUGGAAUGCGUAGAUAUCAAGAGGAACGCCGGUGGUGAAGACGAUUCGCUGGGCCUGUCCUGACGCUGAGGUGCGAAAGCCAGGGGAG